AUAAGAUCAUACUCCCUUUAUCUAGACUCUGAAAUUGCAAGUUUCCUUAGGAAGCUUGAAAGGUUUAAUCAAUGGUUGGAUAAAUUGGUUACAGAUGGAAUUGGUACCAAUGCGAGAAUAGAGACCUUAUGGAAGAAGUUAUAUGGAUUUCUAUUGGAGCAUGUUUAGUCCAUCUUUGUUGUUAGUAAUUAUGGCUAUGUUUAUCUUUGAAUUUUGAUAUACAAAUUACCUUUUUCUAGCAGCAUUGUCAUAGCACUUAUUAUUUAUUUCUUUUGCAUCUCAGUUUAUAUUUCAUAUUGUAUACCAUGUCCAUGAGUUAGGAGUUGGGGAUUUUUCGUUGGAAAUUAUGAGUAUGCAACAUUAUUUUGUUAGAGAUGUUAUGUAAUGCAUAUUAUGUGUGAAUAGUGAGUAUGAAUCUGCCUUCUACACAUGUUUAGUGCUUGUAAAACUCAAAUAAAGUGAAACCAUGAAGGGUAAUGGCUGAAAUUAGUUACAAUGAUUUGGUCUUUAAUUCAAAAUUUGAAAGAAAUGAUUUAUUGAGGAGUCCAUUCCAAGUUUCUAAUAAAUUAGUUUCUUACUUCAACAAAUGGCAUGCCCUAGUGAGAUGCACUAACUCUUUUUUUUCUUGGCUACACUGGUGAUCCUUGGUGAGGAGUUAGUGCAUCUCACUAAGGCAUGCCAUUCGUUGUUCUCCCUCAGAUUUUUGUUUUCUUAUGAGGCAUUUUUUGUGUUUCCUAGCUUCUUGGUUGGUGAAGGUGCACAUAUGUGGGCAAAAUCCAAGGGUAUUCCUUUGCUGGCAAGUAUACCGGAGGCUGAUGAGUGGCUAGUUACAGAGAGGGCAAAAAGAUAGUGGGAAAAAUACAAAUCAAUGCUUGAUGCUGCAAAAGUCAUGAAAACAAACAAUGAUGGAGAACUUUCUUCUAGCACUCAAGAGAAUGCUGCUGUAUCAGGUCUACGAGAGAUCUCUGUCAAGUUCUGGUGCUAGCCCAAAUGCAGCUACUGCUCCUCAGUUUGUGAGAGCUGAAAUGCUUCCAAGUGGCUAUUUCAUUCGGCCAUGCAAGGGUGGAGGGUCAAUUAUCCAUAAAGUUGAUAUGUUAGUUUGGAUCAACUGCUAAGCAAGUUGAUAUGUUA